CAUAGGACGAUAUAGGCGUGUUGGGUAAUUUUAGAUUAUUGGUGGCACCCUUAGGCGUAGCUUUUGGGUCAUUCAGGAGUAGCCGCGGCUCGCAUAACCACUCUCUGUUCUGCAAUGGCCAAGAUCGAAGAACUGAACGAGUCCGUGGCUAAAUCAAGGACCAAGAGGAAUCACGGCUCAACCAGAUUCUUCAUCUUUGUUGAUUACCUUUUCAUUUUGAUCUUCCUUGGAUUCCUCUGCUUCAUCAUUUUCAAGAUUCUCGGCAUUUGAUUCUAUUCGAUUCCCAAUCCCCCGUGCUUUCUGAGCUAGGUAAGUACCGUUUCAUGCACACCCACUUCGUUUAUUCUCCAAUCCCGCUCAUAAAGAUUUGAUUUUUAUUUCCAUGCGCUCUUUGUUAUUGAGAUGCUUCUUCAACCCAAUUAUCUUUUUUUUUUCAUUUAUUAAACAAGUAUUGAAGAGAUGGGGAAGAGUGUUUUAGAAGUACAAGUAUUGAAUGUCCUUGUUUUAUGUGGAAAGAAGCUAUUGCCUAUUAUUAGAUAUCGAAAGUAAAAGUCGAGGAUUUUGGGCAAACUCAUAAAUUUUCGCUUGAAGUUUUCUUUCUAUAUAUAAUUUUAAUUUUCUUGCCUAUUUCUUCUAAAGGUAAUUAAAGUGACAUUCUCUUAGUUUCUUAAAAUUGCAUACGAUAUUUUACCAUUUACACUGAUUUUCCAACUGGGAUUCUUGUGUUACAAAUUCAGUCUGAAGAAAUAAAAAAAGAUGUCAAUGUAAUUUGUUAUUUUUUUCUAAUUACUCAAAUUUGGUGUAAGAGUUUGUAUCUAGGUGUGCAUACUACUUGUACUUUAUGCUUCCAACACAAACUCGCGUUUGAAAAAUGAUUUGUCGACCUUCCAAGUUUAUCAGAAGAGAUAGAGAUAAAAGAAGAAGAAUUAUGAUAAGUGAUAUGAUAUGAUAUAAAUAUAUAAAGUUAAAGAGAAUAGGAAUGUUGAUAACUUUUUAGAUUUUAGACUAAGAGUUUUCCCGAGUCAUUCCUUAUCACGUUAUCUUGAACAUAAAUAACGACUUGGAUUAUUUUCUCCUCUCUGUCAUAUUUAACACUUCUCACUCUUUUACUACUGUACUCUAUCUUCACCUGCAUUUCUUUUGGCAGGAUAUUCGCGUGACAUAGUUAUGAUUCCAUUACAGACCUAGGUACAAGCUUGAAGGCAGGGUCAACUAGCAAGUACAAUUUUUUUUCUCAGAUCUUAUGUUGUAAUACUUGAAUUUUCUCAGAUCCAGUUUUGCUCUAAAAUAUUUACACGGUUCAUUUUCCCUAGCUAUUGUCUUCCAUUUGUUUCUUGUUUAUUACAUUUAUCUUUUCACAUAUGAUUUCCACUUUCACUUCCUUUUUCCUUGGCUGUGGUAAGAAGGAUGACAACUAAGAUCAAUAUCAAAGUACACUGCAUUGAAAGCUGAUAGUGAUGGCAGAGUAAUUUCCCUUUUCUUUGCCAACUAUUUAUUACAUUUUCUGAGGGGGACCUGGGGAUAUAGACUACGUGACUAUGUGUUAUUAUUAUCCACUUUCUGUUUGUGGUUGGUGGAUUUGGAUGAGGUAGAGCAGCAGAGUGAAGACCCCAAACAGCUAUUUUGCAUGCGACACACUUACCAGUGAUUUGGUGUGUACGCUUGCAAAUUGAUGAUACACCAACUUUGCAUUUAUGUGAGGCAUUGUUAUCCUUGUUAUGUCCUAUUAUAAAAUCGAGAUGUUUUAAAAGCAUAAAACAUAUUUUUGCUGGGGGGAAAAAUGGUGAAUCUUGCCAUUUUCAAGCGGUUAACAGAAGAGGAUUUUUCUUUUGGCUGAGUUUCAUGCAUUGGAAGAUCAAACAUGACCUUGUUGCAUUUAGAAAAAUUUAACAUGAUAUAGGUUGUUAGAAAGCUUGAUGUUAGACAUAUGGACUAGUUUUAUCUUGUCCGUACAAAGCUUAACACAAUUCAUUUCUUUGUUUGAGGUUUGGGAUUAGCUAUGAUUACAUUUAAAUGAGAUGAAGUUAAUGAAAAUGAACACAUAGGAUAUAUAAAACAAUCGAGAGUUAUGUGUAAUUUGUGAAGCAUCUACCAUGUUCAAAGAGAAGUUUUAUUGUAUUCUUUUUUGAAGUAAUGAAUGUUGGACUUUAAAAGGAAGAGAAAAAGUUGAAAUUGGCAAAAUGAAAUGCACAUGCUAAGAUGAAUGUGUGAUGAUACAAGAAAUUAUACGAUACAAAGAAAGCUGCUAAAAGUAUUUUUGUGAAGAGUAGAUUGUAUGAUUUUUAUCCCUGUAAAAGUAAGUGGGAUCAUGAAAAAUAUCAGAGGAAGCUGUAAAGAGAAUAACUAGUUUUGGUCUCUAAUUAAACAUUAUGAUAUCAUAGAAUUUGUGUAGUUAGUAUAACUAAUAAAAACACUAUGAAGGGAACACAGAAUUAUUAUCAGAAUAUUUUUAACUGUUGCAACUUUUAAGGUAUUACUGUUUUCUUCUUCUAAACGCAACUCAAUUUGUCUCUUGUUCAUUGAAUCCAUAAUAAUUAUGCUGUUUAUGACCUUAUUCUUGCAUUAUUGAAUCCAUAAUAUCUUAAUUUAGAUAGCGAAUAUGUUUGAAUUAUGUUUAACAUAUUUCUGUGAAUGAGAAGAUAAUGUAUUUUUCCAGAUUUGUUAUAGGAGUAAAAAUUACUUCCAAGCAUAACAAAUCCACAGGAGAAGAAUAUUUUUCAUGUUAUUACCAUGUUUAAUUCCAUGAAAAGAAGGUAGGUAAAUUCAUUGAAGUCAAGUAGCCUCGUCUUUGGAUGAAAUACUGAAGGCUAUUUGCUUUUCUAUAAAUUUAAAACAUUUCAUAAUAGAAUAUGUUGUUUGGAUAUAUAAUUUUAAGAAAAUAAAUUUUCUAAUUUUUGUGAAUAAUUUGAUUACUUAAAUUAAAGCGUUUCAGACAUCGUUUAAAAGGUUAAAAUUUGAAAAUUAGCAUACUUUCUUUUAAAUGUAUGUUCUUUUUAAUAUUUUUUUAAUAUCCAUAUCAGAAGAUACUAUUGACUCAACUUCAACAGAGAUAUGUUCAAAUCAAAGGAUCAUCGUUUGGACAUAAUUUUUUUUUUUAUUAUUUAUUUAAUUAAUUAGUUAUUUGAUCCCAUUUUAUCCUUCUCAAAUUAGUCAUUCAAUUUUGGAAGGAAAAGUUGAUUUGAUUCUGACGUUAAAAUUAAUAUAGUGACGUGACAUGCAUAUGUUAUUUUUAUAUUACGUGAUGCUUUAAUAUUUUGUUAUAUGAAUUUUUCUUAUAUAAUUGUUAAAGUAAAAUAUGUGAAUAUUAAGAGUGUUUUAUGUUUUUUCAGUGUGCAAAGACAAGGUCGUUUGGAGGAGUUGUGAAUGUUAAGGGUGUUAGUCUUACUUACAACAAUUUAUUCACCUUAAUCUAUGUUCAUCUUCUCUCUCGUCAUAUUACUCACAACACAAUAUCAUAAAUACUUUUUCUUUCAUUCA
rnacentral:lncRNA from 1 species